rnacentral:rRNA from 1 species
UGGGGAAUAUUGCACAAUAGGCGCAAGCCUGAUGCAGCCAUGCCGCGUGUGUGAAGAAGGCCUUCGGGUUGUAAAGCACUUUCAGCGGGGAGGAAGGCGAUAAGGUUAAUAACCUUGUCGAUUGACGUUACCCGCAGAAGAAGCACCGGCUAACUCCGUGCCAGCAGCCGCGGUAAUACGGAGGGUGCAAGCGUUAAUCGGAAUUACUGGGCGUAAAGCGCACGCAGGCGGUUUGUUAAGUCAGAUGUGAAAUCCCCGGGCUCAACCUGGGAACUGCAUCUGAUACUGGCAAGCUUGAGUCUCGUAGAGGGGGGUAGAAUUCCAGGUGUAGCGGUGAAAUGCGUAGAGAUCUGGAGGAAUACCGGUGGCGAAGGCGGCCCCCUGGACGAAGACUGACGCUCAGGUGCGAAAGCGUGGGGAGCAAACAGG